rnacentral:lncRNA from 1 species
AUUUAAAAUUUUAUAAUAAAGUUGUCUUAAAAUUAUAUUGUUGCACCAACUGCUCCUAGAGUAAGUGGCAAAGUAAUUAAUGGUUGGUAUCUAAGGUCCCAAGUUCGAAUCUUAGUUGAUUCACAUUUCCAUCUAAGUUUAUUUUUGAAUGAAAUAAAUGAAGCGGGUAGCGUGUUUUUUUUUACAAUAAAAAUAAAAAAUUAAAAGCAAUUUCUCUUGUCUUUUUUAGAAUUGUCCAAUUUAGCAUAUACAUUUAAUAAAAAAUCAUAACUUUGUAAUAUCUAUUUAUUGUGAAUGAAAAAUAGGCUAAAUUAUAGAAUUUUUUUUUAAAAUACCUUCUUUUUUAUUUUUUUCUCUGAAUUUCAGAAAUUUGUAUUUUGCCCUUUUAAAAUUUCAAAAAUAUUUUAAGGAGGUAUGAUAUUAAUAGAGAAGGCAAAAUAACCAAAUUGCUUUUACUUUUUCUAUAAAAAUAAAUUUUUAAUAUAUUUCUAUUAUUUUGAAAAAUGUUUUUGAUAUAAAAAAAAAUUAAUGGAAUAGUAAUAAAAUCCUGAUGGAGGAAGGCUAAAUAAAAUAACUUAAAAUACUUAGAGGGUAAAAUAUAGGUUUUUAAAAGUUAGAAAAGAAAAAUAAAAAAAACACAUAUUAAAAUUUUUUUUUUGUAAUUUAGCCUAAAAAAUAUUACCUUCUAC